CCUACGGGGUGCUGCAGUCGAGAAUCAUUCACAAUGGGGGAAACCCUGAUGGUGCGACGCCGCGUGGGGGAAUGAAGGUCUUCGGAUUGUAAACCCCUGUCAUGUGGGAGCAAAUUAAAAAGAUAGUACCACAAGAGGAAGAGACGGCUAACUCUGUGCCAGCAGCCGCGGUAAUACAGAGGUCUCAAGCGUUGUUCGGAAUCACUGGGCGUAAGGCGUGCGUAGGCUGUUUCGUAAGUCGUGUGUGAAAGGCGCGGGCUCAACCCGCGGACGGCACAUGAUACUGCGAGACUAGAGUAAUGGAGGGGGAACCGGAAUUCUCGGUGUAGCAGUGAAAUGCGUAGAUAUCGAGAGGAACACUCGUGGCGAAGGCGGGUUCCUGGACAUUAACUGACGCUGAGGCACGAAGGCCAGGGGAGCGAAAGGGAUUAGAGACCCCAGUAGUC
rnacentral:rRNA from 1 species